rnacentral:rRNA from 1 species
UACGAAGGGGGCUAGCGUUGUUCGGAAUUACUGGGCGUAAAGCGCACGUAGGCGGAUACUUAAGUCAGGGGUGAAAUCCCGGGGCUCAACCCCGGAACUGCCUUUGAUACUGGGUAUCUCGAGUCCGGAAGAGGUGAGUGGAAUUCCGAGUGUAGAGGUGAAAUUCGUAGAUAUUCGGAGGAACACCAGUGGCGAAGGCGGCUCACUGGUCCGGUACUGACGCUGAGGUGCGAAAGCGUGGGGGAGCAAACAGG